UCCGGGGUCGUCUAACGGCAGGACAGGGGACUUUGGAUCCCUUAAUGGAGGUUCGACUCCUCCCCCCGGAA
rnacentral:tRNA from 1 species